GACGAACGCUGGCGGCGUGCUUAACACAUGCAAGUCGAGCGGUAAGGCCCUUUCGGGGGUACGACGAGCGGCGAACGGGUGAGUAACACGUGGGUGACCUGCCCUCAGCUCUGGGAUAAGCCUGGGAAACCGGGUCUAAUACUGGAUAUGACUCCAUGACGCAUGUUGUGGGGUGGAAAGCCUUGUGCGGCUGAGGAUGGGCCCGCGGCCUAUCAGCUUGUUGGUGGGGUGAGGCCUACCAAGGCGACGACGGGUAGCCGGCCUGAGAGGGCGACCGGCACACUGGGGCUGAGACACGGGCCCAGACUCCUACGGGAGGGCAGCAGUGGGGAAUCUUGNGCAAUGGGCGAAAGCCUGACGCAGCGACGCCGCGUGAGGGAUGACGGCC
rnacentral:rRNA from 1 species